AAAGGACGGCCUACGGCCGAGAGGAGUAGGCCGACGUCGGCCGGAGAGGAUAAGAUCUCGGGCGCCAUCAAUGCCGAGCACGCUUCACUGGAUAAGCUCGGAUGGGACAUCGGUUUGGCCGUCGAGGGCCGCUCGGUGCGCGAAGGGGACCGGCGGUUGAAGUUCCGUUGACCGGCCACCCCCUCGCCUAUAAAUAGCCCCCGAUGUCGACGACGAAGAGCACGAG
rnacentral:lncRNA from 1 species